UACGGAGGGUGCAAGCGUUAUCCGGAUUCACUGGGUUUAAAGGGUGCGUAGGCGGGUAUGUAAGUCAGCGGUGAAAUCCCCGAGCUUAACUUGGGAACUGCCGUUGAUACUAUAUAUCUUGAAUGUCGUGGAGGUUAGCGGAAUAUGUCAUGUAGCGGUGAAAUGCUUAGAUAUGACAUAGAACACCUAUUGCGAAAGGCAGCUAACUACGCGAAUAUUGACGCUGAGGCACGAAAAGCGUGGGGGAUCAAACAGG
rnacentral:rRNA from 1 species